GCUCUUUCUCUGUGUUCUCUCUUAUUUAGUUCAUGAAGAAACUGCUUGAUCAGCUCUCCUCCCUGAUGCUAGCAGCUGAGGAAGUCUGGGCCUUACACAGAGUGCUCCCAAGAAUUGUCAGGAUACAAGCAGAAAGGGAACGUCGGUUAAAAAAGAGGGCAGGAAAGGAGGAAUUGAUUAAAUGAAGUUACGUUCUUCUCCUAUUACAACUCAUCAGUUUUACUGGUGAAAGUCAGAAUGGCUAAGGAAGGUGACGAGCAAAACUUAUCACAUGCUUCUACUGAUACAGGGAGACAUGGAAGACCUGUCAAGAACACCGAUUUGGAUUUUGGAGAAACCUCCCUCAUAAACCACAGGAGCCAGGAGGGAACCUGCGAGCACUGUGUGUGGGGUUGGUCUUCUAGAGACCCAAUCCUCAGUGUACCAAGUCCAGCACAAGAGCUAAAAUGAUGUGCAAUUCCAAGCAAAUGUGCAGUAUGCAGUAUUGAUUUCCAGUCUCUUUUUAAACUCCUUCAAGUCUGUGCUAUUAAACUGAGACAACCACAUCAAGAUAGAGUCUGUCAUAGGAUUCCCUGAAGCACAGAAUGAGGAGGAGACUGAGCAAACACGACCCGGGAAGGCACCAGUUGAACCAAGACAACUCUGUAAGACAAAAACAUGCAGUUGUAAGCAUUCAAGUGUCACUAGCAGAACACCACCUGUAUGCCGGGAGCGAUCUGCUCUGCAUUCAAAAGCACUUAUAAUAAAUGCACCCUGGAAGGCCUCAACAGGCUCUCAAUAAACAGUGACAAUCUGGA